UACGUAGGGGGCAAGCGUUGUUCGGAUUUAUUGGGCGUAAAGAGCGUGUAGGCGGCUAGGUAGGUCCGUUGUGAAAACUCGAGGCUCAACCUCGAGACGCCGGUGGAAACCAUCUAGCUAGAGUCCGGAAGAGGAGAGUGGAAUUCCUGGUGUAGCGGUGAAAUGCGCAGAUAUCAGGAAGAACACCCGUGGCGAAGGCGGCUCUCUGGUACGUGACUGACGCUGAGACGCGAAAGCGUGGGGAGCAAACAGG
rnacentral:rRNA from 1 species